AUUGAACGCUGGCGGCAGGCCUAACACAUGCAAGUCGAGCGGAUGAAGAGAGCUUGCUCUCUGAUUCAGCGGCGGACGGGUGAGUAAUGCCUAGGAAUCUGCCUGGUAGUGGGGGACAACGUUUCGAAAGGAACGCUAAUACCGCAUACGUCCUACGGGAGACAGCAGGGGACCUUCGGGCCUUGCGCUCUCAGAUGAGCCUAUGUCGGAUUAGCUAGUAGGUGGGGUAAUGGCUCACCUAGGCGACGAUCCGUAACUGGUGCUGAGAGUAUGAUCAGUCACACUGGAACUGAGACACGGUCCAGACUCCGACGGGAGGCAGCAGUGGGGAAUAUUGGACAAUGGGCGAAAGCCUGAUCCAGCCAUGCCGCGUGUGUGAAGAAGGUCUUCGGAUUGUAAAGCACUUUAAGUUGGGAGGAAGGGCAGUAAGUUAAUACCUUGCUGUUUUGACGUUACCAACAGAAUAAGCACCGGCUAACUUCGUGCCAGCCGCCGCGGUAAGAC
rnacentral:rRNA from 1 species